AUUGAACGCUGGCGGCAUGCCUUACACAUGCAAGUCGAACGGCAGCACGGGUGCUUGCACCUGGUGGCGAGUGGCGAACGGGUGAGUAAUACAUCGGAACGUACCUUAUCGUGGGGGAUAACGCAGCGAAAGCUGUGCUAAUACCGCAUACGCCCUGAGGGGGAAAGCGGGGGAUCGCAAGACCUCGCGCGAUUAGAGCGGCCGAUGCCUGAUUAGCUAGUUGGUGGGGUAAAAGCCCACCAAGGCGACGAUCAGUAGCUGGUCUGAGAGGACGAUCAGCCACACUGGGACUGAGACACGGCCCAGACUCCUACGGGAGGCAGCAGUGGGGAAUUUUGGACAGUGGGGGCAACCCUGAUCCAGCAAUGCCGCGUGAGUGAAGAGGGCCUGCGAGUUGUAAAGCUCUUUUGUCUGGGAAGAAACACCGGCUCUAACACAGUCCGGGAAUGACGGUACCUGAAGAAUAAGCACCGGCUAACUACGUGCCAGCCGCCGCCGUAA
rnacentral:rRNA from 1 species